AACUGAUACUACCUGCGGGAACCUGCGGAGGGAUCAUUAUUGAAUACUCUCGAUGGGUUGUCGCUGGCUCCUUGGAGCAUGUGCACACUUGUCUUGAUUUCAUUCAUCCACCCGUGCACCAUUUGUAGUCUCAACUGAGGGCCCAUCGGUCGCAAGGCCGGAUUGUAAGGGAUGUGGUGUGCAAAAAGCACAGCUCUCCUCUGAACCUCAGAAGACUAUGUCUUUAUACACAAACCAAUG
rnacentral:misc_RNA from 1 species